rnacentral:rRNA from 1 species
AAUGAACGCUGGCGGUAGGCCUAACACAUGCAAGUCGAACGGCAGCACAGUAAGAGCUUGCUCUUACGGGUGGCGAGUGGCGGACGGGUGAGGAAUACAUCGGAAUCUACCUUUUCGUGGGGGAUAACGUAGGGAAACUUACGCUAAUACCGCAUACGACCUACGGGUGAAAGCAGGGGAUCUUCGGACCUUGCGCGAUUGAAUGAGCCGAUGUCGGAUUAGCUAGUUGGCGGGGUAAAGGCCCACCAAGGCGACGAUCCGUAGCUGGUCUGAGAGGAUGAUCAGCCACACUGGAACUGAGACACGGUCCAGACUCCUACGGGAGGCAGCAGUGGGGAAUAUUGGACAAUGGGCGCAAGCCUGAUCCAGCCAUACCGCGUGGGUGAAGAAGGCCUUCGGGUUGUAAAGCCCUUUUGUUGGGAAAGAAAAGCAGCAGGUUAAUACCCCGCUGUUCUGACGGUACCCAAAGAAUAAGCACCGGCUAACUUCGUG